UACAGAGGGGGCAAGCGUUAUUCGGAAUUAUUGGGCGUAAAGGGCGCGUAGGCGGCUUGGCAAGUGGAAGGUGAAAUCCCUCGGCUCAACUGAGGAACUGCCUUCCAGACUGCUUUGCUUGAGUCCGGGAGAGGUGGGUGGAAUUCCCAGUGUAGCGGUGAAAUGCGUAGAUAUUGGGAGGAACACCAGUGGCGAAGGCGGCUCACUGGACCGGAACUGACGCUGAGGCGCGAAAGCGUGGGGAGCAAACGGG
rnacentral:rRNA from 1 species